rnacentral:lncRNA from 1 species
GACAUCAUAGAAGCAUAUUGCAAAGAAAUCAAGAGCCUAGCAACGAUCAUCCUAUGUCAAUUGGGGAAGGCUUUAAAGAUGGAAGAUAAUGAAAUAAGAGAUCUAUUCAGUGAUGGUAUGCAGUCAAUGAGAAUGAAUUAUUAUCCCCCUUGCCCUGAGCCAGACAAGACAAUUGGCUUAAGCCCUCAUUCUGAUGCUGAUGCCCUCACCAUCCUUCUCCAGCUGAACGAUACUGAAGGUCUCCAAGUCCGUAAAGACGAUGCGUGGGUGCCUAUAAAACCCCUCCCAAAUGCUUUCAUUGUGAAUAUUGGCGAUAUGAUGGAGGUAAAUAACUUUUUCCUGAGUAAUUUAUUUCGAUCUCAAAGGGUUGCAAUGUAGUGAAAAUUGUAACUUUGUGCUUAAAGUAGGUCUUAUUCACAGCGUCAUCAUGCUUCACGUUUAAAAGACUUCCGAAUUUUCUUGAAAGGGCUUAAUUGAGACUUAUAUCUGUGCACGUAAAUCCGUUAUUUGACUUGGCAGAUAGUGAGCAAUGGUGUGUAUAGAAGCAUUGAGCACAGAGCAAUUGUAAACUCAAACGGAGAACGGCUCUCAGUUGCGACGUUCUAUAACAUCAACGUUGAAGCCGAAUUAGGACCUGCACAGAGUCUCAUUGGACCACAUAAUACUGCCAUUUUCCGAAGAGUUCCUGUGAAAAAAUAUUUACAGGACUUUUUUUCACGAAAACUUGAUGGAAAAUCGUACCUUGAUUUCAUGAAGGUAGAGGCGAGGGAUUGCAUAUAAGUUAGUACUCUUGCUGUUGUAAUUUGGUGUUCCCCUGUUUGAUUACUAUAAAGAAGAAAAAUAAAGUACUCUUCAAUUCAUCUGAUGUAACAGUAUUUUACUGAUAUUGGUAUGAAGGAAAUACUCGAAUUUGAGUUACAUUAUGUUAAUUAAGUAGGUACGUAAGAUAUUGAUACAUUAUGUUAAUUAAGUAGGUACGUAAGAUAUUGAUAUAUGAUCAUCAGACAUAUUUAUAAUAUCAAGUGUUUCCUCAUAGAUGAUCAUCAAACAUAUUUAUAAUAUCAAGUGUUUCCUCAUAGUUAUAAAACGGAAAAGGACCAAAAAUACCCUCUAAUGUUUGAAAAAUGGCUCGCAAAUAUCCUCCUUCUACCUUUUGGUCUAAAAAUACCUUCAACCUAAUGCUCUACUCACUCCACUUAAGCUGCCGAGUUCAAUACAAUUUUUGAAAUUCUUGGACCAUCAAUGGAUGUGCUGGUACAAUACUGAGCAGAACUAAAGGAACUUGCCAUGAAAAUUAUGUACAAAAUGGCUAUGGCAUUAGGGAUGAAAGCAGCGGAUAUGAAUGUACUAUUUGAUGAUGGGACACAAAGAAAAGAAUGAAUUAUUACCCUCCUUGUUACAGCGGAGCCACCUUAGACGAAGGGUGGUUUGGUGCACUCUCCACCGGAAAACUAUACGUGUACAGAGGUUAAAUGUAGCUAUUAUGACUGUAUAUUUAAUUUCUGGGGUCGCCAAUGCUCUUUGUCCUCAACCAGAACUUGUGAUGGGCUUAUGCCCUCAUACUGAUGCUGUUGAUCUAACCAUACUCCUUCAAAGUUAGUGAAACUGAAGGCCUUCAAAUUAAGAAAGAUGGAGCUUGGAUUCUUGUUCCAUAUGUUCCUGAUGCAUUUGUUGUCAACGUUGGAAAUAUUAUAGAGGUUAGAAAUUAGUAUAUACAUGUUUGGUGUAACGAAACAUAUCUUUCAAGAACAUAUUCUCUACGAGAAAGUUAUUUCUGGCACUUGGUUACCAGGCAGUUUUCUACCAAAAAGGGGAAAACAGACUUUUCUCACUUGUGAAUUGAGGUUAUUUUCCUGACAACUAUAUCUUACUUUUUUCAUAUUAAAUACUCUUGUGAACAGUACUUGCACAUUAUUUUUAAUAGGGAUAAGUCGCUAUUACCCCCGAAACUAUAGUCAAAGUUGCUAUGACACAUUUUAAUAUCACGGGAUCCUAUUACACCUUAAACUCAAUUUCUUGUAUUAUUGUCAACCUUUGUGCUUACAUGACACCUUUAAUGACACAACUUCAUUACAAGUUUUUUUGGGCCACCUAAUCACAAAAGGUGGACACUCAUGAAAUUAAGGGGUGUCCAAGCAAUUUUGGCUAUAGUCCGGGGUAAUAGUGUCUUAUCUCUUUUAAUACAAAAAAAGUUUCAUCAUGAUACUCUCUGAUUGCUAAUAUCGAAACAUUGCAAGAAAAGUGUUUUCCACGCUGAAACCCCUGCACAAUAUAGUAGGAUUGGAGUGGCUGAUUACUCUUAAGGGAUUUUUAUCUCAAGAGAUCGUUGGAAAAUCAUAUACAGAUACUACGAGGAUCGAUUAGAAAUGGAGGUGAUGGGGGCAAUUGAAUGUUUCAUUUUAAUUUGAAUGCUAUUAAUUUGAUGCAUGUCCUGCUGGUACAUUAUUAAUCUUCAUAUGAUACCAAGUUAAAGAGCACUUGUUUUGGAUGGAAAUUAACCAAGCACACUCUUUGUUUCAUUGUAUAUAUCUAAAAAGUUUGGAUUCAGAUUGGUGCAAACUAUGCCGAACUCGAAACUGGAUUUAUGUUUGUCGAUCGGCCUGCAUGGUGUUUUUGUUUGUUACCUUGGAUUAGAGCUGAGGUACUGCUCUGGGCCUCCGGCUGGCGGGGAUGUAAAUGUGGUAGCUGAUGAUGAUGCAAAGACAAAACUAUAUACUACUAUAUUAUAUAAAAAGAAAAAAAGUACUAUGGUUUUGGAAGAAGUUGAUAAAUCCAAAGCUACAUGGAAUCUAUAGUUUAAAGGAUUCAAUAUAUAUGUACGUCUGGUUUUGUCUAUGAGUUUUCAUUGAGAGAUUAACAAUUUUCAAUUUAAUUUGCAACAAGAGCGAAUGGAAUCAACGCCUCCGAAACUGAAUGGAAAAUCUAUGUUAGUUCCAAGUGUUCAAGAGCUUGCCAAACAGAAGCUCACCAAUAUUCCGGACAGGUAUGUUCGUCCAGGAAAGGUAUCUCUGCCUGUAUCUGCUGGAUCCACGGUACCAGUUAUCGAUGUUCAGAAGUUGAUAUCAGGGGAUUCCAUGGAUUCUGAGCUGCAAAAACUUCACUCUGCUUGCCAACAAUGGGGUUUCCUCCAGGUUUUAUUUUCUUCAUUUUAUAUAAAAUUAUAUAUAGUGAUCAAAUUUGAUUAGGAUAGUUCCAUCUAGAGUGGUCAUUUAAUUUAUGUUAUGAGCAAUUUUUUAAAAAAGUUUUCAGGUCAGCAAUAUCUAUCGCAGUUAUAGCUUGUAUUGGUUCGGUGACCUUUUUUGGUGAAAUUACAAUAGUUGGGUGAUUUUGUCUGUUACAAAACAAAGUUGAGUGACUUUAUGAGAUAACAACUGUCAAUUGAGUGACAUCUUGAAAAAGACUGAUAGUUGAGUGAUGGUUUGCAAAAAUUAACUAGCAUAUUGCUGAAUGUUAGGUUAUAAAUCAUGGAGUGACACCUUUGUUAUUGGAGGAUUUCAAGAGAGAAGUUAUAGAAUUGUUCAAACUUCCAAUGGAAGAAAAGAAGAAACUAUGGCAACAGGAAGACAGCUUUGAAGGUUUCGGACACUUAAAUGUUGUAUCGGAGGAGCAGAAGCUUGAUUGGAGUGACAUGUUUGGCAUAAUGACUCUUCCUCCUCAUAUACGUAAAGUGGACUUGUUUCAAAAGUUGCCUUCAAAGCUCAGGUGUAUCUCUCGGAACUUGGUUACAACACCCCCACCCCCUAACACACACGCAAAAAAGAAAAAAAAUCACAUUGUUAUUUUCAAGACUUCAUUGCUUAAACGAUCACUGAACUUGUGGCUUGGUCUUCUCUCUCCCUCAUCUCUUAAUACAAUAUAUGUUUGUGUGAUAUGAUUGGAUAAUUUCGAAAUACAGAGACAUCAUGGAAGCAUACAGCAAAGAAAUCAAGAGCCUGGCAAUGAUCAUCCUAUGUCAAUUGGGAAAGGCUUUAAGGAUGGAUGAAAAGGAAAUGGAAGGGCUAUACAGUGAUGGCGUGCAGUCAAUAAGGAUGAAUUAUUAUCCACCUUGCCCUGAGCCAUACAAAACCAUUGGAUUUAGCCCUCAUUCUGAUGCUGAUGCCCUCACCG